CAGUAGCCGCGGUAAUACGUAGGUGGCAAGCGUUGUCCGGAAUUAUUGGGCGUAAAGGGCUCGCAGGCGGUUUCUUAAGUCUGAUGUGAAAGCCCCCGGCUCAACCGGGGAGGGUCAUUGGAAACUGGGAAACUUGAGUGCAGAAGAGGAGAGUGGAAUUCCACGUGUAGCGGUGAAAUGCGUAGAGAUGUGGAGGAACACCAGUGGCGAAGGCGACUCUCCGGUCUGUAACUGACGCUGAGGAGCGAAAGCGUGGGGAGCGAACAGGAUUAGAGACCCCUGUAGUCCCUGUCUCUUAUAC
rnacentral:rRNA from 1 species